rnacentral:rRNA from 1 species
AUUGAACGCUGGCGGCAGGCCUAACACAUGCAAGUCGAACGAGUGGCGGACGGGUGAGUAAUGUCUGGGACACUGCCUGAUGGAGGGGGAUAACUACUGGAACCGGUAGCUAAUACCGCAUACCAUCAGAUGUGCCCAGGUGGGAUUUGCUAGUUGGUGGGGUAACGGCUCACCAAGGCGACGCGCCCUAGCUGGUCUGAGAGGAUGACCAGCAACACUGGAACUGAGACACGGUCAAGACGCCUACGGGAGGCAGCAGUGGGGAAUAUUGCACAAGGGGCGCAAGCCUGAUGGAGCCAUGCCGCGGGUAUGAAGAGGGCCUUCGGGUUGUAAAGUACGUUCAGCGGGGAGGCGUGACCCGCAGAAGAAGCACCGGCUAACUCCGUGCCAGCAGCCGCGGUAAUAC